AUCUUUCUUCACACUUCAUAACACCUCAUGUUCAAAUGACUAGAGCUGUGUGAAUAACUGCUGUUUCAGAUUUCAGGUUCACAUGUGGCUGGCAAGAUGCUUGGGAGUUAAUGGAACUGGGAAGAAGUGCCAUCCUAGCCCUCUAGCUGCUCCCCGGGCCCAUGGUGGGAGUCGGAGUUCUUCGCUCGUCUUGGCCUU